GACGAACGCUGGCGGCGUGCCUAAUACAUGCAAGUUGAGCGCUGAAGGUUGGUACUUGUACCAACUGGAUGAGCAGCGAACGGGUGAGUAACGCGUGGGGAAUCUGCCUUUGAGCGGGGGACAACAUUUGGAAACGAAUGCUAAUACCGCAUAAAAACUUUAAACACAAGUUUUAAGUUUGAAAGAUGCAAUUGCAUCACUCAAAGAUGAUCCCGCGUUGUAUUAGCUAGUUGGUGAGGUAAAGGCUCACAAGGCGAUGAUACAUAGCCGACCUGAGAGGGUGAUCGGCCACAUUGGGACUGAGACACGGCCCAAACUCCUACGGGAGGCAGCAGUAGGGAAUCUUCGGCAAUGGACGAAAGGCUGACCGAGCAACGCCGCGUGAGUGAAGAAGGUUUUCGGAUCGUAAAACUCUGUUGGUAGAGAAGAAAGUUGGUGAGAGUGGAAAGCUCAUCAAGUGACGGUAACUACCCAGAAAGGGACGGCUAACUACGUG
rnacentral:rRNA from 1 species